CUGCCAUUGUCCUGGGCUAGAUGUGGCCCUGGAGCUAUUUAUCACCAAUCUGUACAGAGAAGCAAGAAGUCUGCAUGUCAUAGGUUUGGAAAUUUGACUUUGCCAUAAGAUCCAAGUUCAAGGUCCAAGCUGAAAUGAAAUCAAUUAUGAGAACAAAUAGCCCUGUUUUAUCACUGAUGAAUGGAUUUUGCACUGUUUUCCAUAUUCCUGCCACUUGAAAUGGAAGGCGCAGAGCACGCGAGAAAAAUCAAUGGAGCUAACAUCCUCGUUAGUUUUAGUUUCUACCGAAGCAGUCUCGUGUCACCGUAG
rnacentral:lncRNA from 1 species